UCUUUGCUGGUUUCGUGGUGUUUUCUUACGUGGGCUACAUGGCAGAGCUGCAAGGGGUAGACAUCGGUGACGUUGCAAAAGGAGGACCGAGUUUGGCGUUCGUAAUUUGGCCGUCAGCAGUGGCUACCAUUCCUGUUUCGCCCCUGUGGUCCAUUCUGUUGUUCUUCAUGCUCAUUACACUUGGCUUGGACAGUCAGUUCACCCUGUUAGAAACAAUUUUCACUGGUUUGUUAGAUGCAUAUCC